CUUCCCUUCUUCCUCCAUCUGCCCUUCCCUCUUCUGCUGUUCCGUCUGUUCUCCUCGCCCUCUCUUUCUUUCCCUUGCCAUUUUUAGAUCAGCUCUCCUUACGCGUAUCCUCUCUUCUGUUUUGCCCUCUUUCUUCCCCCCCUCUCAUUCAUCACUCUUCUGUUCUUCCCCCUUACAAGCUCCUCUCUUCCCUUUUUUCUUUGUUCUGCUCGAUCUUUUCUCUCCUCUCCUUCUCUGCUCUCCUCUUUAUUGUCCCUGCUCCUCUCUCUGUCCUCCACUUUUCCCUUCUUUCUUCUCAUUUAUUCACCUUUAUAUUCCCAGGGAGGACUGCUCAGGAGACUACAGGAACGUUCUGCUGAAGCUCUGUGGCAGUGAGGAUUGAAGGAUUCCUGGUGUACGUCCCGCGUUAUGGGAAGGAGGGGAUCAUAAGGAUUUCUCUCAGGUGUUUGUAACUGUUGGUGAAUAACGCUCUGAAGGCAUCACAGACUGCCUGCUUGUCUCUGCAGUGCUCGGGGCUUUUCUGAGCUGCAGGCUCGCUGUCGCCCUGUGGCAUAGCCUUGCAUCUGGUGACGGACUGAAGCUGGAGAAUCCUGGCAGCAGAGGACGCUCCUGCCCCACAGAAGGGCUCACAGCUCCACCGCAGCUCCACCGACCUCAGUGCUGGUGAGGAGGCUGAGAUGCCUCCAAGUGAUGAAUGCAGUGCACCCAACCUUACACCUCGUGUGGUUCACUGUGCGAGGCGACCAGGAAGAAAGGUGGGCACAGGUAAUACUGCAUCAAAAGCAACUGCAGAGCUCUCGGGCUGGUAGUCCAGGGUGUGGGGGCCCAGGUGGUGCUGUGGGACAGGUGUGAAAGGAGGGCACUGGUGGUGCGUGCCAGUCCUUGGCUGCAGGACUGGUGCUGGUGGCAGGGCCUUGGGUUCUGUGUCUGCAGGACCUCUUUGCAGAUUGGUGUCUGCUUGGAAGGGAUGGGACCCACCUACCUAAGAGAGGUGAGGAUAUUUUCAUCAGUAGGAUGGCAGCUUCACAAGGGAGGCUUUAACCUAAGAAUGGUGAGGGCUUUUGAUCACAGGGAUGGGGUGAUGUGAGGGAGAGGGACCAGAAAAUCAGCACUUGCAGGGUUGCAAGGAAAUGCCUGAAGGCACUGCUAUGGGGAGAUCCCCCAAAGCUCCAGAGGAGGUUGUGGUGGGUAACGGGGGGAGGCUGCUUGGAUUUGUGCAGAGGGAGAGCUGGAGAGAGAAAUAGAUAGACAGAGGGAUCAACAGAGGAGAGAACUGUUAGAUGGAUGGAUGGAUGGAUGGAUGGAUGGAUGGAUGGAUGGAUGGAUGGAUGGAUGGAAAAACGGAUUGAAGGAUCAUUGGAUUGUUGGAUGAAAGGGUGGAUGUAAAUACAGGUGGGUGGAGAGAUCAACAGGAAAAUAUGAUUUCUGCCUCAAAGACCAGUGUGCCCCCAGGCCCCACUCCCUCCAUGGGAACCAGUGGCGGUGGCCCUGCGGGUACAGAACCCACGUCCCAUUGGCUGGAGCCACUCUCUUGGCUGCUACAGAACCCAGAACCUUUGGAGGAGGCUCAGUUCCAUGGCUCUGGCAUGGGGAGUGCUGGAUCCCUGGAUCCUCUGUCCAUUUGGGAUGGGGUGAUGGGGUCUGUGGUGCAGGAUGGAUCUUGGGUAUGGUGGUCUGUUGCCCCCUUUUAGUGGGAUGUGGGGUGAGAGAAGUCCUUGCCGUAUGAGUCCCUUUCUUACAGGAGGGAUUGGGCUCUAUGGAGUAGAAUGGGUCAGUGAGGUCCGUUGCCCACCUAUCAGGUUUACGGGGUCCAGUGGGGCAGGGAGGGGUCCCAAACCCCUCAGUUGGAUGCCCUGUUUAAGGUGGGAAGGAGGAUAAUGAGGUAAAGUGGGGCAGAGGGAGGGCCCCCUCCUUGCCCCUCCCCUUCAUUGCUGUGAUGUCAGUGGGGUAACAGCAGUUCUCAGGGUAACUGUCCCAACCCCAAACCAUCCUAGACUUCUCUCUGAUCAGCUGUGAAGAUGGUGCCUUGUGGCCUUGUUCCCAUCUGGGAUGGAUCGUUCUACAAUGCUGUGUGUCCCAUUGGGCCAAAAGUACUGGUUUGGUGCUGAAAUCCAACUCCAUUCCUCACCAGCUGUAUUCCCAAGGAAUCCUCCUUCCCCAUCCUCCCCAAGCUCCCAACUUCUAUCUCCAACUGAUGUGCAGGAAUCAAACUCUAUAACCACAGAGUAGUUAUAAAGCAGGUAUGUUUAAUCAGCGCUGCACACACGCUGGAUGCAGAGGGGGUAUUCCCACCUAGCCUGCAUACUGGAGGGCAAGCAAGGCACAUACUUAAAGAACAAGCUGCUUACAUAUGCAUUAGGAUAAGGAUAGGAUAAGGGGGAAUAUGUGGAGUCAUUCAUGCAUCUACUUACAAGUUGGGUCAUCCCAUUAUGUGCUCCAAAUACAAGGUUGAAUUUUGGUCCUAAAAUAAUAGUGCCGUUAGCAGCAGCUUCCUCACCUUCCCCUAAGCAAAUGGGCUCCCUCUGACCGCUUUUAUAUUUGUGCUGAGCAGGUCAAUUUAGUGACGGGACCCCAAAGCAUGGUACGUCCAUCCCUGCCUGUGGUAGUCAUGUGCAGAUCCAGCAAUCAGAGAAGUUUGAAGUCUUAGCACAGUUACUAAUUACACUGUAAAAGGAGCUCUCUUCCCAGGCCAGAACACCUCCCGCGUACAUUGAGAUAAAGCAAAUUAGUAACCAGCUCAUCUUGUCUUGAUGAGUUUAACUUUUGACGGUGCACUUUCCUUGGCAGACCCCGGCAUCUUGGAAUAACCUCCUGCAACAAUACUUACCUCACAUGCCUUAUUAGUCCUACAAGGGAAUGCCUCCAGCCACCCUAAAAAGCUAUCAGGACCAACAUACAGCAGUAUACCCCCCCCCGCCUUUUCUUGGGAGUUCUGAGAAAUCAAUUUGCCAUUGUUGCCCUGGCAGGUUCCCUUUCCCAGUAGGCCCACUUGUACCCUGUUCCUGGUACUAGGAUUGUACUUGGUAGUCUCUGUUCCCGCAGUAUGUUUUCUUAUCUUCCCUUAGAACCAAUUUCCAUACAAUACUAACGGGCACAACAAUGUGUCCAUCUGGGCGUGAACCCAUCUGUCAGCUUGCUCUCUUCCCUUCUAAACCACUAAUUAGAUUCCUAUCCUCCGUAGGAUAUUUUACAGGUUCUGACUCAGGUUCAGAGAUUUUAAGUUUACCGUCUGGAAUUAAAGCCUUCUUCAACUGCCUGUUCUGCCACCUGAUCCGCCAUCUUAUCUCCAGUUUCCUGUACAGUGCUACCUUUCUGGUGUCCUUUACAGAGUAUAAUAGCCAUGCUCUUUGGUAGAUGUACAUCAUACUGAAUGUUUUCCUUGUGUGUGAGCAAUCCUUGCUCUUUCCAGAGGGCACUAUGAGCGUGUUCCACCCCAAAAGCAUGUUUAGCAUCUGACCAUGUAUUUAAGGCUCUUGUCAAGGCAGUUAUUGCAGCCUUCUGAGCCAAGUCCCCACAGGCAAUGGUUGUUCGAUUACCUGGUCAGUAGCAGUUACUGCAUAUCCUGCCUUACGGUUGCCUCGUCUCACAACACUGCUUCUGUCGGAUGAACCCAGGAAUCCUCAGCACUGUCCAAUGGUUCCUCCUGUAGGUCUGGCCGACUGGCACAGUCAGUCUCCAAGCAGUCGCACGCUGCCGGUUUGGAGGUAGUUCUGUGUUGGUGUUAGAAUCAUGGAAUGGCCUGGGUUGAGAAGGACCUCAAAGAUCGUCCAGUUCCAACCCCCUGCUAUGUGCAGGGUCACCAACUGACGGACCAGGCUGCCCAGAGCCUUGUCUUGAAUAAGAUUGUUUUUAGGCGAACAAAAACUUUGGAUCACCUUUCAAAUAC
rnacentral:lncRNA from 1 species